AAUCACUUGCCUCUUAAUUAGGAGCUGGAAUGAAAGAGGCGACGAAAUCUAGGCUAUUUAAAUUUUAAGAGAAAUUGACACACGCGUCAAAAGGCUUGUAUAAACCAAAGGGACGAUAAGACCCUAUAAAACUUUACUUUUUGUACGAUGUUUAACAGAACACCUCUACGCUAAAGAGUUUAACUGGGGCGGUAGUUAUAAAAACAAUUAUAUAUUCAAUAUAUUAAAUAGCGAUGUAGAACUCUUAGAGAAAUAGAACAAGUUACUUUAGGGAUAACAGCGUAAUUCCCCCAGAGAGUCCUAAUUGGCGGGGGAGCUUACGACCUCGAUGUUGAAUUGGGGUUUCUUGUAUAAGCAAAAAUAUAUUUAGACAGUCUGUUCGACUAUUAAAUUCCC
rnacentral:rRNA from 1 species